rnacentral:lncRNA from 1 species
GUAGUAGCUUCCAUGAAUUUAUCGCAGGACUUAAAGAAAGGGCAAUGCAGCACCAUUCCACGCAUGAGCUGGAUCAUAGUGAUACUGAAACAAAGACAAUGAAACCAGAGAACACAGAUGAUGGUGACAAGAAAGCAGAAUUCAAGAGACAACAGAGCCAAAUAAUAGAGCUUUGGGAAUUAUGUAAUGUACCCUUGGUUCAUAGAACCUACUUUUUCUUGCUCUUCAAAGGCGAUCCAUCGGACUUUGUUUACAUGGAAGUCGAACUCAGAAGGCUAUCUUUUCUAAAGGACUCGCCUGAAAUAUCGAGG